rnacentral:rRNA from 1 species
CGAACGGGUGAGGUAACACGUGGGGCAACCCUGCCCAAAAGAGGGGGAUAACACUUGGGAACAGGUGCUAAUACCGCAUAACCAUAGUUACCGCAUGGUAGCUAUGUAAAAGGUGGCUAUGCUACCGCUUUUGGAUGGGCCCGCGGCGCAUUAGCUAGUUGGUGGGGUAAAGGCUUACCAAGGCAAUGAUGCGUAGCCGAACUGAGAGGUUGAUCGGCCACAUUGGGACUGAGACACGGCCCAAACUCCUACGGGAGGCAGCAG